UACGUAGGGUGCGAGCGUUAAUCGGAAUUACUGGGCGUAAAGCGUGCGCAGGCGGUUUUGUAAGCCGGAUGUGAAAUCCCCGGGCUUAACCUGGGAAUGGCAUUCGGGACUGCAAGGCUGGAGUGCGGCAGAGGAGACUGGAAUUCCUGGUGUAGCAGUGAAAUGCGUAGAUAUCGAGAGGAACACCUGCGGCGAAGGCGGGUUGCUGGGCUGACACUGACGCUGAUGCGCGAAAGCCAGGGGAGCGAACGGG
rnacentral:rRNA from 1 species